AGUGAAGAAGUAAAAAGAGGAUACUUACAAUAGGCCUCCCAACCCAAUCGUAGGCGUAGUCAAAGGUGUAGCCCUUCCUUUCAAAG